CCUACGGGGGGCAGCAGUGAGGAAUAUUGGUCAAUGGCCGAGAGCCUGAACCAGCCAAGUCGCGUGAAGGAUGAAGGCCCUAUGGUUUGUAAACUUCUUUUAUAUGGGAAUAAAGAGAGGAACGCGUUCCGUUUUGUAUGUACCAUAUGAAUAAGCAUCGGCUAACUCCGUGCCAGCAGCCGCGGUAAUACGGAGGAUGCGAGCGUUAUCCGGAUUUAUUGGGUUUAAAGGGUGCGUAGGGGGUAAUGUAAGUCAGCGGUAAAAGUGUGGGGCUCAACCACAAACCGCCGUUGAAACUGGGUGACUUGAGUAGACGUGAAGUAGGCGGAAUGCGUGGUGUAGCGGUGAAAUGCUUAGAUAUCACGAAGAACUCCGAUUGCGAAGGCAGCUUACUAAACUGCCACUGACACUGAUGCUCGAAAGUGUGGGUAUCAAACAGGAUUAGAUACCCGAGUAGUC
rnacentral:rRNA from 1 species